GCCGAGGCAAAGAGGUUUAGUCAGUUAUCUUCUUCAUCCUCACAAAAAAAAACCCUAGCUUCUCUUAGCAAUGGCGAUUGCAACAUCGAUGAGUUUGAAUCUAAUCGGAGCAUUCAAAGGCUUAUCCCUCUCUUCAACCUCGUCCUUCCUCAGAGGCGAUUUGAUUCUAAACCCUAAAACCUCCUUCACUGUGACUCUCCCUUUGGAAAAACUCCAAGCUCCGAUUCCAUUGACGAUUGAAUCCGCGCACAAGAAAGGAGCUGGGAGUACUAAGAACGGUCGUGAUUCUCCGGGACAAAGACUCGGCGUCAAGAUUUACGGUGACCAAGUCGCUAAACCAGGGGCCAUCAUCGUUCGUCAACGUGGCACUAAGUUCCAUGCUGGAAAGAACGUUGGGAUUGGUAAAGAUCAUACCAUCUUCUCUUUAAUCGAUGGACUUGUCAAGUUCGAGAAGUUUGGUCCUGACAGGAAGAAGAUUAGUGUGUACCCUAGAGAAGUUGUGCCAGAGAAUCCCAACAGUUACAGAGCAAGAAAGAGGGAAGCUUUUAGAGUGCAAAGGGAGAAGAAGAAGGCCAGACGCGAGAACUACACUUACACACUUCCUACCCCUCAGCUUGUGCUUGCAUCUGCUGCGAUUGAUGAUGAGGAAACCAAUCCCGAUUGCUGAAAAUCAUAUGUGAAUCUGUCUUUGUCCUCUCGUUAUGUUUAGUCUUUGUUUAUGAUCAUUUUCCCUUUGCUAAUUUACAAAGAGGCUUUGUUUCAAUGGUCCAAGAGUUGUUGUAUGUGUCCAACUCAAAACCUCGCUUUUGUCAAAUUGAGUUCACGCCUUCGGAUUU